UGGGGAAUCUUCCGCAAUGGACGAAAGUCUGACGGAGCAACGCCGCGUGAGUGAAGAAGGUUUUCGGAUCGUAAAACUCUGUUUUCAGGGACGAAUGUGCAGAUUGUGAAUAAUGAUUUGUAAUGACGGUACCUGAGUAGAAAGCCACGGCUAACUACGUGCCAGCAGCCGCGGUAAUACGUAGGUGGCAAGCGUUGUCCGGAAUUAUUGGGCGUAAAGCGCGCGCAGGUGGGAUAUUAAGUCUGGUGUUAAAGUUCGGGGCUCAACCCCGUGCAGCAUUUGGAAACUGAUAUUCUUGAGUGCAGGAGAGGAAAGUGGAAUUCCUAGUGUAGCGGUGAAAUGCGUAGAUAUUAGGAGGAACACCAGUGGCGAAGGCGACUUUCUGGACUGUGUCUGACAC
rnacentral:rRNA from 1 species